AACCGCGGUCCCAGCCUCCUUCGGUUUCGUGAGGAAGCCGGACUGCGCCGUGCCUUCCUGAAAGUUAGGGUAACAGUCCGGCCAGCGGACAAGAGGGCAGCUGGUAGCAGGGUGGGUUGCCCGUGGCAUAGGGCCGAGCCCCCGCUAGGCACGCGGGAGCAGCAGGGCUUCCGGAAGCGCAGGGAGGGCUGGACUGGCGGGCGCCCGGGAUUCGCGCAGGCCCCGCCCCUCGGAGGCCCGGCCCAGGGAGCGCUGCGGCAGUUUCCAUGGUGAGAUGGUCAACAAGCCUGUAAGUUCUUCAGCUACGACGACUAGGUAUCUCGGCUUCCUCCCUCCUCCGAGAGACCGCCGAGGUGCGGGCUGUGAGAGCGGGAGCGUGGAGCCUCCGAGGCCGAGGGACGGAGUCUCGCUGUCGCCCAGGCUGAAGUGUAGAGUGCAGUGGCACGAUCUCAGCUCACUGCAACUUCCACCUCCUGGGUUGAAGCAAUUCUUCUGCCUCAGCCUCCCAAGUGGCUAGGAAUACAGGUGCACGCCGCCACGCCCAGCUCAUUUUUGUGUUUUAGUAGAGAUAGGGUUUCACCAUGUUGCCCAGGCUGGUCUCAAACUCCUGAGCUCAGGCAAUCCUCCCGCCUUAGCCUCCCAAAGUGGUAGGAUUACAGGCUUGAGCCACUAUGCCUGACCCUCGACUCACAGAUUUUCAAAAUACUUUUGAACAGUAAGCUGAGGACAGUGUUUGUUAUGACUAUACUGGUCUCCUUUCACUAGCUCACAAAAUUUAACUCCAUCACUUGUCAGUCUCCUAAAAAUGCUGUGUAUGUGCUUUGAAACUUGUGAAUGAUCUUCUGAUUUGUGCUAUUUUAAUAUUCAAUGUUGUUGAAAGAAUAGUUUUUAAACCAAGUAACGCAAAAAUUUACUUAGUGUAACAUUAAUGGUUGUGCUGUAAAACAUGCUGGAAAAUCGAUAGCUCUGGAAUAAACUUUGGAUUUUUAAUUAAAAUUGA